rnacentral:hammerhead_ribozyme from 1 species
AUUAAGCUGACGAGUCCCAAAAAGGACGAAACGCGCAUCCUUGAU